rnacentral:tRNA from 1 species
GGGCGUAUCGUUCAUCGGUAGGACGCUUCGUUUACACCGAAGGGAGAGAGGUCCGACUCCUCUUACGCCCA